CCCUCAGCUAACCCCAGGGCUGUAAUCAGCCUGUUUAAAACCUGCUGUGGCCAUGGGCUGCUCUGGGUAGCCUGGUGAAGGUGGCUGAGAGCUGCUGUGGGCACUCUGGCGAAGCCUCCAUGUUUCCUGUUCUCACUUCAUGUCGUGGUCCCUGUCAACUUUUCUGACAACAGUUGCAUGUGGUGCCACAAAAGAAGAUGUCAUUCAUGGUUCAGGUCCUUCCACAUUACAGGGGAACAGCAACUUUCAAGGACAACCAGAAGACUGUUUGAGAGAAAAGAUCUGAAAAAUAGUUGUGAAAAUGAAGAAUUGAGUCAACACCAGAAAGCUGAGGAACGAUUUAACUGAAAAUAAAAUGUCAGGCAAGCUAUUGGAGAGAGGAUAGCAGAAAUUAGCAAGAAAACCAAGAAAGAUGCCUGCAGCUACAAUUCUUUCCUUAAAUAUUGCUUCAUUUUAAAACAGGUUGCUCACAGAAAGGAUUACAAUGUAACUACCAUUACUAUAAGAUAAAUAUUUGGUAUAUUCUCAAAUUUUAUUACCUUCUUUCCUAUAAUAUGCAUAUCUCAUUUUCAUCCUGGAUUUUGUGGGGGUCAGUGUCUUAAAAGACAAAAUCCUAUGAAAACCAAUGAAAAGUGUGUUUGUUUUCCCAUAAGUUAAAAGCAGCAUUAAACACUUAAAAUUAAAAAUCAUAUGAUUAUAGAACUAAAACCAUAAAGAACAUAUCUGUAUUGAGAACUACAGAGUAUCUAAUCUGAAUGUAUUUCUGACAGCACUGACCCUGUAUACAUAUAAAGA